rnacentral:rRNA from 1 species
UACGUAGGGUGCGAGCGUUAAUCGGAAUUACUGGGCGUAAAGCGUGCGUAGGCGGUUCGUUAAGUUCGUUGUGAAAGCCCCGGGCUCAACCUGGGAAUGGCAAUGGAAACUGGCGGGCUGGAGUAUGGCAGAGGGGGGCGGAAUUCCGCGUGUAGCAGUGAAAUGCGUAGAGAUGCGGAGGAACACCGAUGGCGAAGGCAGCCCCCUGGGCCAAUACUGACGCUCAGGCACGAAAGCGUGGGGAGCAAACAGG